CUGCGUGCAGUUCCAGGACUUUGGGUUCUUCUUAAUGCUCCACCAAAUAGUAUCAAUACUUCAACCUGUGAGCAGUAAGCUUGAUACUGAGAAUGCUCUAUAGAUUUCAAUGGAGCUCCUCUGUUUCUUGGUUUUCAGUAUCUGCUUACUCUUUUCUCUGAGCAGAAUUUCAUCAGCUGCUGAUACCAUUACUUCAUCUCAGUCCCUCAGUGAUGGCAAGUCGUUGGUUUCUUCUCCGGGUGGAAUAUUUGAGCUGGGUUUUUUCAGUCCAGGCAUUUCCAAGAGCCGCUACUUGGGAAUUUGGUACAAGAACAUCCCAACUCUAACUGUUGUUUGGGUUGCAAACAGGCAAACUCCAAUCAAUGGUUCCACUGGCAGCUUGAUGAUCAACAGCACAGGCAAUCUUGUCCUUGUCAACAACAACAACAACCAGACUGUUUGGUCUGCAAAUUCAUCAAAACAGUCCCAGAGCCAGAGCCCUGUCCUGCAGCUCCUGGACAAAGGCAAUCUUGUCCUCAGAGAUGAGAAAGAUGCAAACUCAGAAAACUACUUGUGGCAGAGUUUUGACUACCCAUCUGAUACUUUGUUGCCAGGAAUGAAGGUUGGAUGGGACUUGAGGACCGGACUUAAUCGACGUUUAACGGCAUGGAAAAGUCCAGAUGACCCUUCUCCAGGGGACUUCAUCUGGGAAAUGGAGCUGCAUGAGUAUCCUGAGCCAGUUAUGUGGAAAGGGUCCAAAGAGUACUCAAGGAGUGGCCCAUGGAAUGGUGUUUUGCUCAGUGGCAAACCAGCCGAGGCACUAGCUGCAUUGAACUUCAGUUUCAUCUCCAAUGAGGAUGAGGUUUACAUGACAAUUCACAUGGUGAAUAAGUCUGUACUUGGAAGGAUGAUCAUGAACCAAACCACGUCGCCACCGCAUCGACGGGAGUGGAUUUGGUCCGAAGCAGACCGAAAUUGGACAAUUUAUGCAACGUUUCCAAGAGACCCUUGUGAUAAUUAUGGCCAAUGUGGUGGUAAUGGCAAUUGUGAUCUUACUUCAUCCUCAAUUUGUCAAUGUUUGGAUAGGUUCAGUCCUAGAUCACUGGAGAACUGGAACUUAAAUGAGUUUUCACAAGGCUGUGAGCGCAGGAAGCCAUUGAGCUGCAAGAAUGAUGGAUUCGCCACGUAUCCUGGGUUGAAAUUGCCCGAUACUACGCAUAGUUGGGUAGAUAAAAGCAUGAAUCUCAAGGAAUGCAGGGCCAAAUGCUUAUCUAAUUGUUCUUGUUCUGCUUAUACAAACUUGGAUGUGAGAGGAGGAGGCAGUGGUUGUGCCAUCUGGUUCGAUGAUCUUGUGGAUAUCAAGCAAUUGCCAAUUGGUGACCAGGAUAUAUAUAUCAAGAUAUCUGCUUCAGAACUAGAUGACGUCAAGACGAGCAAGCCCUCUGGUGUAAAGAAGAAAGUGGCAAUCAUAGCCAGCGUUGGGCUGCUAGUCAUGGGAGUGAUAAUACUAGGAUUGGUUUUUUACAAGCGGAAGAAGACGUUGAAAGCGCAAGGAAAAAUGAAAAACAUACGUGAAAAGAACUUUGAUUUUGAAUGCGGAAACGAAGACAUGGAGCUGAUAACAUUUAAUUUGGCCACCGUAUCUAGAGCCACUGAUAAUUUCUCCAACAAUAACAAGCUGGGAGAAGGUGGUUUUGGACCAGUAUACAAGGGCGUACUGAUAGAGGGGCAAGAUAUAGCAGUCAAAAGGCUUUCAAAAUGUUCAGGGCAAGGAAUUAAAGAAUUCAUGAAUGAAGUAAUAUUGAUUGCUAAACUUCAACACAGAAAUCUUGUAAAGCUUCUUGGUUGCUGUAUUGAGGGAGACGAAAAAUGUUAAUUUAUGAAUACAUGCCCAACAAGAGCUUGGACUACUUCAUAUUUGAUGAUACAAGAAGUAAAUUACUCGGUUGGGAUCAACGAAUCAACAUCGUCGGUGGAAUUGCUCGAGGACUUCUUUAUCUUCACCAAGAUUCUAGACUGAGGAUAAUCCAUAGGGAUCUUAAAACCAGCAAUGUUUUACUAGAUAAAGAUAUGAAUCCAAAAAUAUCUGAUUUUGGCACGGCUAGAGCAUUCCGGGCUGAUCAAACGGAGGAAAAUACUAAUAGAGUGGUUGGAACUUAUGGCUACAUGUCUCCUGAGUACGUAGUUGAUGGACUCUUCUCAAUCAAAUCCGAUGUCUAUAGCUUCGGCGUCAUGGUGCUGGAGAUAGUGAGUGGGAAGAAGAACAGGGGAUUUUAUCAUCCAGACCACCAGCUUAACCUUCUAGGACAUGCAUGGACUCUAUGGAUUGAAGGAAGGCCAUUGGAAGUAAUGGAUGAGGUGUUAGAUGGCUCGUGUCCUCUACUGGACGUGUCGCGAUGCAUUCACAUAGCUCUGUUGUGUGUGCAGCAACAACCAGAAGAUAGACCAAACAUGGCAUCUGUGGUGCUGAUGUUGGGUGGUGAGGGUUCAUUGCCUGCGCCCAAACAACCUGGCUUCUUUACUGACAGGAACCCAGUUGAAGCACAUUCUUCAUCCACCAAGUGUGAAUCACACUCAAUAAAUGAUAUGAGUGUAACGCUGUUGGAGGCAAGAUAGAACAUCUUUAUUUAUUCCACCAAGUGUGAAUCACACUCAAUAAUAAUUUUUCUCUUUUACAAUUUACCACCUAUAUUUAUUCCAAAUGUACCAUUCCCAU